GGCUGGCAGAGGAUGGCUAGGAUCUCAGGCCAGACAGAGAAAGGAAAAGAUAAAAGCAGACACUAACUUUUUCUAAAUGAUGGAUUUUGGUCCAAUAGAAUUCUUUCCUUGAAGCUGCGUUUAUAGAGGACACAAGCUUGGCUGUGGAAAACCCCUCCAGUGGGCCAUGUGUGAACAAUGCAGAGAUAUUUCUGUUAUGUAAAAGAAGGCAUGUGGCAUUUCCAGUGAAUUUAGGCUUCUAACCCCAAGUCUGGAGAACAUCUUCUCAUGAUUCCAGAAUCAAUCUCCAUAGAACAUUAAAAUUGUCCUGCCUCUUCUUCAGAGGAAAGGGCCGGUCACCCUGUGAAUGCCUGUGAUCAGGAACCAAAGCCUCCUGUUUCAUAGCCCUUCCAGGACCUUGUCGAAGGAAGGCACGCGACACGUAUUGAUCGGCUGGAUGACUGGGAGUGAAGGAGGGAUUUAGACUGCGGUGAGUUGAAGGCCCGACUCCAUCCGCACCUGCCAGACCAGCGGGACUUUUCCUGGCUGCCUAUGUGAGUAUGAGAUGUGCCCUUGAACCCAUCUCCAAGGGGAGGCAUGGGCUGCAGGCUGAGCCCUGAGUGCUCUUUGCUGGGGCCUGGGCCCCUCUCAGUGUAUGUGGGGGGCUGGGAGUGGCCAUAC